rnacentral:rRNA from 1 species
GAUGAACGCUGGCGGCGUGCCUAAUACAUGCAAGUCGAGCGAACAGAUAAGGAGCUUGCUCCCUUGACGUUAGCGGCGGACGGGUGAGUAACACGUGGGUAACCUACCUAUAAGACUGGAAUAACUCCGGGAAACCGGGGCUAAUGCCGGAUAACAUUUAGAACCGCAUGGUUCUAAAGUGAAAGAUGGUUUUGCUAUCACUUAUAGAUGGACCCGCGCCGUAUUAGCUAGUUGGUAAGGUAACGGCUUACCAAGGCAACGAUACGUAGCCGACCUGAGAGGGUGAUCGGCCGCACUGGAACUGAGACACGGUCCAGACUCCUACGGGAGGCAGCAGUAGGGAAUCUUCCGCAAUGGGCGAAAGCCUGACGGAGCAACGCCGCGUGAGUGAUGAAGGUCUUCGGAUCGUAAAACUCUGUUAUUAGGGAAGAACAAAUGUGUAAGUAACUGUGCACGUCUUGACGGUACCUAAUCAGAAAGCCACGGCUAACUACGUG